UGUUGAUAGGUUCUCGGGGCUUGGGGAUUGGGCUGGGAAAUUUCGAUGGAUGAGAUGGAGGUUACACAAUUCACAUGCUUCCGGCAUGUAUCUUAAAUCCUUUUUAUAAAUUUUAUGUGUUGUGGGAGAUCUGAGCUGUGAAUCAGAUAGGAUCCAUUUGUGAAGAUCACCUGGCACAAAAGUCAGCUAGGUUCAUUCAUCUGGCAGCCACAUUGAGGUUAAGUGAAUAUAUUUUAUCUAUGUUUAAGUGAAUUUUAUGUUCAAAACCAAGAUUUGCCUGAUACAGGAUGGUGAAAAGACACCCAAGUCUCCAUCUCCAAAUCCUUUGCUCCUUUCCAACCCUUGGAAUCUGCAUUUUCCAAGAUUCCUUUAAGCAUCAGAAAUUCCUCAAUGCAUAUUAGCUUUUGCAGUGGAAUGGCUUAUGGUUCCUUUUGAAGGUAUUAAAAAGUACUCCUAGUGCUCAUUACAAAUGAUAAAUCUGAGUUAGUGAGAGUGAUGGAAAAAGCUAAAGGGAGAGUUCUUUCAUGGGCUUUAGUGCGCAAAGAUUUUACAGGAGUUAAUUAGGAGGAUCUUUGUAGAGAUUGGCUUUGGAAGUUCCGCUACAAGGAGUGCUAUGUAUCACUAAAUGUGCUUCUUUCACCUCCCAUUGUCGUCUAUUCUCCAAGAGUUCUACCGGUGUAUGUUUAUGAUGCUCAUGCUGAUUGUGCCAAAAAUGUCAGUGCUGCGUUCCUUGUUCUAUAUGGCAUUGCUUUGGCAAUUGAGGGAUGGGGUGUUGUUGCUAGUUUGAAAAUAUAUCCACCUUUCGCUGGUGCUGCUGUAUCAGCAAUUACUCUCGUUGUGGCCUUUGGGUUUGCUGUAUCUCGUCCGUACUUGACACUUAAGAUUUACAUUUUAUUGGCAGAUGAUGGAAGAUGUUGUGCAUUUUCUCAGUAAGGAAAUUGUUGUUCAUGCAAUUGCUCGGUCUGCCACUAAAGUGAGUUUGCUUCUGCCUUGAAAUGACUUCUUAGCUAUUAUGUUUCUGAUCUCUUUGUACUCUCAGAUCUUUUCCUGAAUGGAACCGACUGUUGUAUUUGAUUUUUGAAAGUUCAAUUCCAUCUCAUCUGUACGAUUUCUUCAGCAUGGGCAUGUUUCUGUUAUUAACUGGUUUUGAUUAGCGUUCGCAUUUGUAACUGCAAGAAGUGAUACUUAAAUAUUUAAGUUACAUUCUCUUUUCAUUUUCCUAU